UCCAGUGGCGGCAGGGUUCGGGGACGUCGGGCCUCUCUUUGCUCUCUCUCCACACCUCCACAUCUGCAAGCGCUCGAUCGGGAAAAGCAAACAAACAAACGAAAAAAACCUUCCCGGCCCUCGCCGCGAGCUGCGCGGCGAUCCCUUUGAUAAUGCGUAAAAGUCGGGAGCGAACGCCAGCAGAGCUGAAAGUCGCGUAUGCUGUUCAGCCCGAGAGACCUGGUCUUCAAGAUCCGGUGUCCGCGGAGUUUGCAGCUGUCUCGUUUGCGGAGAUGCCUGGGAAGAAGGCGCAGAAGAAUACCCAGCCGAAGCCGGCACUCCCGUUGUCAGGGCCGGCACUCCCGCUGUCAGAGCUGGAAGUCCGAUGUGCCAUUCAACUCAGGAAAAUUGGAGACGAACUGAAUUUUCGGCAGAAACUUCUGAACCUGAUUUUUACGUUCUUGAACCUAGUUACCUGACAUGCUCCCUGGUGCUUUUGCCGGGGAGGGAGUCGUGAGGUUUUGUCGUUUUUGUUGUUGUUUUUGUUGUUGUUGUUUUCCAAAUGCCAUUUCCCUGUUGGGUACACCAUUGGCCACUGCAGAGACUGCGCAAUCGUUUGAGAAGACUGUGAAAGAUCACCCGCUUUUUCAGACGUCGCUGGGAAAAGAGAUGGAAUGUGUGUGAGAAACGGUUUUGGGUAGGCAGUGAGCAGAAAUCGUUUUGGGGGACAUGAAAACCUGAAACCGCACACGGAAAGAAGAAUGGAGCAGCUUGGAAGGCACGAUUCAUCACAAGCGCGUUGUUCCUGGGCUUCGGCUGCAGGUGCUGCGCAGCCCGGUGUGAGAAGAGCUGACAGCGGAACUGGUCAGCGAAGAGUUGGCUUUUCUGGGACAAUUCAGGGCGAUGUAUUAUACAGUUGGGGUUUAUAUGUUAUCUUGAUGUCAAGGAAAAUUUCCUUCUGUGAACACUGAUCAUCGCAGUGAAUGCUGACCGAUCACUGCCAAAGUGUGGGAACUGCAAGACUGUGGCUGAAUCUAGGAGCCGUGUCUGUACUCCACCCUUUCUCGCAGAAGCAGUGGGCUGACAUCGGUCUAGGCUGAAGAGGGAAGAAGUUACAGGAAGAAGAGAAGACACAGCCAAAGGUUACUGGGCGGUGCCACGGUUGGGCAUAUCGCAGUUGUCAGAGCUGGCGGUUGCUUCGGAGAGCCUGGGGUAAGUUGGCAUGAUCUGAUUUGAAGGACUCUGGAAGUCCAGCUCCUGCGCCUCACUCAGCAUGGCCAGACGGACCCCUUGCACUCUAAGCAGUGACGCAUGGAGGCAGAGGCACAGAUGUCUCUAGGAUCAGAAAUGAGGACUGUUUUUGAGAACUAUGUUUCAAUGUUAAGAUUCUCAAGGCGUCCACCCACGUGAUUGUAUCUGUUGACCUCCAAACAAUCUUCAUUUGCAUUGUAAAAAUUCUAUUUUUGAAUUUUUUUAUUGGAAAGGCAGAUAUAUGGGAAGAAG